UUCUCACCUAAAUACUGGCGGGAACCUGGUCUGUUUUGGCUCUCAACACUCUCUCGCUACUCUCUCGCUCCAAAACCCUCCAAACCCUUCGCCAUGAGCAACAAUGGCAAAACCCGAAAACGCCCGGCACCGCCGCAGAAGCCGUCGCCGGUGAACCCACCACCGCCCAAGCAGCGCGCCGCGUCUCAAGAAGAAGAGGAAUUUCUCGACGAGGACGUCUUCCUCGACGAAACCCUACUCGAGACCGAAGACGACCUCAUUCUCCGCGACAGUGAGCAGCGCCAAUCCCUCGCCUCCCGCCUCACCAGGUGGGCCCGCCCACCUCUCUCCGAUGCCUACAAGUCCGCCUCCAAAAGCAUCCUGUUUCAGCAAUUGGAGAUUGACUAUGUGAUUGGAGAGAGCAAUAGAGAAUUGUUGCCUAAUUGGUCCGGUCCUGCUGCCAUUAUCAGAAUAUUUGGGGUUACAAAGGAAGGACAUAGUGUUUGCUGCCACGUUCAUGGAUUCGAGCCAUAUUUCUAUAUCAACUGCCCUCCAGGGAUGGGACAUGAUGAUAUUCCUCGGUUUCGUCAGACUCUCGAGGCGAAGAUGGGGGAGUCAAACAGGAACAAUAAGGCAUCAAUGUUCAUUAGACGUGUUGAAAUGGUGUACAAGAGGAAUAUAAUGUAUUACCAGCAGCAGGAUUCCAAUCCCUUUCUCAAAAUUGUUGUUUCUUUGCCAACAAUGGUGGCCCGCUGCCGGGGUAUUCUUGAUAAAGGCAUACAAAUUGAUGGUGUUGGUGAGAAGAGCUUCAUGACAUAUGAAAGCAAUGUUCUGUUUGCUCUUCGAUUCAUGAUUGAUUGCAACAUAGUUGGUGGAAAUUGGAUUGAGGUACCUGCCGGAAAAUAUAAGACAGCAAAGAGUACAUCGUACUGCCAAUUAGAGUUCAAUUGCCUAUAUUCAGACGUGAUCAGCCAUGCUCCUGAAGGUGAAUUUUCGAAGAUGGCUCCGUUUCGCAUUUUAAGCUUUGACAUUGAGUGUGCUGGACGCAAAGGUCAUUUUCCUGAUGCCAAGCAUGAUCCUGUCAUCCAGGUGGCCAACCUAGUUACUUUGCAGGGAGAGAAUCAGCCAUUUAUUCGUAAUGUUAUGACUCUUAAGUCAUGCUCCCCUAUAGCUGGUGCUGAUGUGAUUUCCUUUGAUACAGAAAGAGAAGUCUUGCUGGCUUGGAGGGACUUAAUCCGUGAGGCAGACCCAGAUGUCAUAAUUGGAUAUAACAUCUGUAAAUUUGAUUUGCCAUAUCUCAUUGAGAGAGCUGAGACUUUGGGAAUACCUGAAUUUCCAAUACUUGGGCGCAUCAGAAACAGCAGGGUUCGGGUCAAAGACACUACUUUUUCUUCAAGGCAGAUGGGAACCAGGGAAAGUAAAGAAGUAACAAUUGAAGGGAGGGUUCAAUUUGAUAUACUCCAGGUUAUGCAACGGGAUUAUAAAUUAAGCUCAUAUUCAUUGAAUUCUGUCUCAGCACACUUUCUUUCUGAGCAGAAAGAGGACGUCCACCAUUCCAUAAUAUCUGAUCUUCAGAAUGGCAAUGCGGAAACUAGGAGGCGACUUGCUGAGUAUUGUCUGAAGGAUGCUUACCUCCCACAGAGGAUUUUGGACAAACUUAUGUUUAUUUACAAUUAUGUAGAGAUGGCUCGAGUCACUGGUGUUCCCAUCUCAUUUCUACUCUCCAGAGGGCAGAGCAUCAAGGUGCUUUCUCAACUUCUUAGGAAGGCUAAACAAAAGAACCUUCUCCUUCCAAAUGUCAAACAGGCUGGAUCUGAACAAGGAACAUAUGAAGGUGCCACUGUUUUGGAAGCAAAGGCAGGAUUUUAUGAAAAGCCAAUUGCAACUUUGGAUUUUGCAUCCCUGUACCCCUCAAUCAUGAUGGCUUAUAAUCUAUGCUAUUGCACCCUGGUCCGAUCUGAAGAUGUACGCAAACUCAGCCUUCCUCCAGAAUGUGUGAACAAAACUCCAUCUGGAGAAACAUUUGUUAAACCGAAUUUGCAAAAGGGAAUUCUUCCUGAAAUUCUUGAAGAACUAAUAGCUGCUCGGAAGAGAGCAAAAGCGGAUUUGAAGGAAGCAAAGGAUCCACUUGAGAAGGCAGUGCUAGAUGGUCGACAAUUGGCCUUAAAGAUAAGUGCAAAUUCCGUAUAUGGGUUUACCGGAGCUACAAUUGGUCAGUUACCAUGUUUGGAGAUAUCAUCAAGUGUCACGAGCUAUGGUCGACAGAUGAUUGAGCACACAAAAAACCUUGUAAAAGAAAAAUUUACUACUCUUGGAGGCUAUGAACAUAAUGCCGAGGUAAUAUAUGGGGACACAGAUUCAGUUAUGGUGCAAUUCGGUGUAAGUACUGUUGAAGCAGCAAUGAAAUUGGGAAGAGAAGCUGCUGAUGCUAUCAGUGCCACGUUCACAAAGCCUAUCAAACUCGAGUUUGAGAAAGUUUAUUAUCCAUAUCUUCUGAUUAGCAAGAAGAGAUAUGCUGGUUUGUUUUGGACAAAUCCAGAGAAGUUCGACAAAAUGGAUACUAAAGGCAUUGAAACAGUACGAAGAGACAAUUGCUUAUUGGUAAAAAACCUGGUAAAUGAGUGCUUGCACAAAAUACUGAUUGACAGAGAUAUUCCUGGGGCAGUCCAGUUUGUCAAGAACACCAUAUCUGAUCUUCUUAUGAACCGCAUGGAUUUGUCACUCUUGGUUAUCACUAAGGGUCUGUCAAAAACUGGGGAGGAUUAUGGAGUAAAGGCAGCUCAUGUUGAACUUGCUGAGCGUAUGCGCAAGCGAGAUGCUGCCACUGCUCCAACGGUUGGGGAUCGAGUACCAUAUGUCAUUAUCAAAGCUGCAAAAGGUGCCAAGGCUUAUGAGAGGUCAGAGGACCCCAUCUAUGUGCUCGAGAAUAACAUUCCUAUAGACCCUCAAUAUUAUCUUGAAAACCAAAUCAGCAAGCCACUCUUAAGAAUUUUUGAGCCUAUUUUGAAGAAUGCCAGCUCGGAACUUCUCCAUGGAAGUCAUACAAGAUCUAUUUCAAUGCCUACUCCCUCCAACAGUGGCAUAAUGAGAUUUGCAAAGAAACAACUCACUUGCCUUGGUUGUAAAACUCCAAUUAGCAAUUCAGACAGAACGCUGUGCUCACACUGUAAGGGAAGAGAAGCUGAACUUUACUGCAAAACUGUGGCUCAUGUUUCUGAGCUGGAGACUCUUUUUGCACGUUUAUGGACACAGUGCCAGGAGUGCCAAGGUUCACUUCAUCAAGAUGUGCUCUGCACAAGUCGGGAUUGCCCUAUAUUUUACAGGAGAAAGAAGGCACAAAAAGACAUGGGUGAAGCUAAAGUGCAAUUAGACCGGUGGAACUUCUGAGAUUUGCCUGAAAGAGUUCAUGGGCAAGAUAUAUAUUAUACUUGCAAAAGAUGAAUAUCUCAUGGGCAAGAUUAUUCCUCCUUGUUGAGUAUGGCAGAUUUUGGUCCAUUCUGCUGCAAAGGAAAUUGUGAGUGAAGAACUGAAACCAAAGAUGAUGUGGAACCAGGAACAACUUUUGAAGAUCUCAACAUUUUCGUUUAACUAGUAUCUCAAUAUGGAAUGCAUGAAUGCCAUUCAAUGCAUCUUCUUUAGCUGAGAAGUUGCUGCAUCUGCCCAGUUGGCUGCCCUGCCCACUUCCAGCCUAGCCCAGUCACUGGCCACCACAGCCCCUUAGCGCCCCCAGCUCGCUUGCAGCCUCCAGCACCGACGCAGUAGCUCCGCCUUGAACCAGAAAACCAGAAAGAAAAAAAACCCAGAAAAGGGAUAAGACGUCUUCGGCCAAGAGGAUGGGAAGAAAGAGGAAGGGAAGAAAGAAAAAGAGACGGGGCCCAGUGUCAGAAAAUGAAAAAAAAACAGAAAGCUUGUGGUCCACUGCAGAAGAAGAAGAGAAAAAACAAAAGGCCCCGCAGCCCAUGUGCUCCCAGAAAAAGAAAGAAAGAAAGAAAAGGGCAGGAAGCCCACGCCGCGGAAGAAGAAAGAAAGAAAAAAAAAAGGGCAGAAAGCGUGCCCAGAAGAAGAAAAAGAAAG